CUGGGCGCUGAGGCCCCUGGGUGAGCGCUGGCGCUGGCUUCCGCGCCGAGAGGUUCCCGGUUCUCGGCCUCACCGUCUCUGGGAACCCGAGCUUCGGGGUUCCAGGGAGGGGUGAAGGCGUUGGAGGCCCGCGGUGCUUCGGAAGAAGGCUCGGAAGCUCUGGAGCGGGAGAGGCAGCGGACUCAGCCCGAAGCGCGGCCUGCUGAGGCCCGCCGCGCCCUCGCCAUCUGCCGCCUCCCCGGAGAAGGGGCGGAGGUGCUGGCGCCUUCGGGACGUCCCGCGCGACCCUCGGCCUCCAGAAAGAUGAUGAAAUAAACUGAAAAAUCAAGGAGUUCCCAGGCUUUUAAAACUGCGACCAAAGUUAGAGACCAUCUUUGGCUUGGUUUUGUAGUCCAUAUCUCUGGGAGAAUGUCAGGAGAGGAGAAACAGAAAAGAAAAAGGGCCGCAGCAGGUUUCUCAGACAAGAUUGGUCAUGUGAUGCAGUUCUGGCUCAUGAAGUAUGAAUUCAAGGGUACUGGUGGAAUAGAAUGGUGCUUCUGGAAAGAUCAAUGGAAAGAUGGCAAAAGUUGGCUCCUUUCCUUCCCUCCUUUGGAAUAUGCUCUGUGAAUUUAUGAUCUGGAUUGAGGCGGUAUCCUUGUAACCCUUACAUAAGCCUGAGGAUGGCAGAAGGCUGCCAUAGAUUGAGCAGAUUUCAUUUCCCAUUCUGUUUCACCAUGCCGCUACUGCCUUGGAGCCAAGUGAUCAUGGAUUGAAUGUGAAAAAAUGUGAGCCAAAAUAAACCUCUCUCCUUUAAAAUGAAUAUUUUGUCCCAGUGAUGGAGAAAUGACCAAUAUACCAUGCUAUCCUCACAUCAUCCUGAGAAAAUGGUGAUGGCUACUUUCCAAGUGGAAAAAUACCACACAAGUGAAAGUGGUAAAAUAAAGUUGAGACUAAAAUCCAAGUUCUCCCAAACUUUAGUCACUGUUUACCACCUUUUCUAUUGUCAUAUCUAAAUAUUAUUUUAAAAAUAUUUUCUUUAUAAUGAAUCAUAUUCUGAACUUUCUUCCUAUAUAACAAAAUCUAUGAAGUUUUGGGUUUAAUGUGGUACUAUAGUUGUGUACAUUUGUUUCAUGUUGAUUUAAACCAAAACUCUUCAAAAUGUUUAUCCAUGUGCCAGGAGUUGGACACAUACUACAUUUUGAGAAACCUAAGCCACAAUACACAAUGUAUUCAUGAUUUAAAGCUAUUCAAGUCAGGUCAUAUAAAAAAAAACAAUGGAAUUAGUGGUUUAGAUUCUGGGACGAGAGAUGACUCUGUGGGAUAAUCAUUAUUUUGUAUAAAUAUUGGAACAUCAAAGGGUUGGAAUUUGACUUUUACUUCAUGAUCCCAAAGAGGCAAUGGUAGGUAAAACUUCAGAAGUAUAAAUUUCAAUCUAAGGGCUAAUUAUAACUGCAGCUACGUAGUUAGAUCUGCUGCUAUUAAUUAUGGGGUUGAGCAAUUGUUUUAUAAAUGGGAUGCCUUGGUUAUGUUUUAAGAAAGAAGCUCAAGGAGGAUCAAAUGAAUAGAAUAAGCUUCAAGAUCUGUAUUCAAUAAUCCCCUCAGGUAAGGGUGAGCUUUGGAAAAAGGUGGACCCUUUUUCCUACACAUUAUCCAGGAAGAUACAAACUUCUUAAAAGAGGAGGUAAUUGGAGUGUUUUAUCUGUGUCACUUUAUUCUUCUCAGUGAAGUGAAUACAGCACUGAUGUAAAGAAGCAACUUAUACGGCUGAGCAUGAUCUGUAAGAUGGGGAAGUAGCAGCAAGGGUGUGCAGACACUUGCGAACAAGGGUGCAUGAUCAGGAGUUCAUAGUCAACUCGUCAACAGUUACUUCUCCAGUCAGAAUUUCUGGCUGACAGCGAGAGCAAUGAGAAUCAAGUGAGGUUUUCAAGUAUAAGCACAGGUUUGAUGCUGGUAAAUAGGCUCAUGAUCCCCUCUCAAGGGCUGAGGGGAAAGCUGGGAGUAUUACUCAGAAUGUGACCCUUCCCUCGGGGUGAGCUGUAACUUUAUAGUUACUGUAAAUAUAAAUUUUCAUGAAUGCAAUUGUAAAACACUGACUGGUUAGUAGGAUUUUUUAAAAAUUUCAAGCGUAACAAUACCUUUUCUGUUUUUGUAUUGGAAAUAUUUUUCCUAGUCUUGUCUUUUAUUUCUGGCAUAGAAUAUUUUGCCAUCAAAAUGUUUAAUUUUUGUUUAAAAAAUAUGUCUGUGUUAUGUUUUAUAAUCUUUUAAGGAACAAUUAACUUAGUUUUCCCAUACCAAAAUGGUAAUUUUCAUCACUAAUUUUAUGUUGACAUUUUCAUAUUUUAAUUUUUAAAAUUAAAAUCCUUAAUCUACAAGAAAUUUAACUUUGAAGAUAAUAUGCAAUGAUACUGUUUUUUCAAGCUGAGGCCAAUGAUGCUGUCUUCCUCCUUACUCAGAGCUCCCCAGGCAGUAUGCUGUAGCAUAUGGGCUACAACUCCUUGGUCUGCAAGCAUGCCUUUCAAUUUUCCCCUGUGAGUAUGCGAAUGUUAUAAUUCUCAAGAUGUGCCACAGAGGUCAAGACGUAGAAAUGACUGGACUAUAGGACAACACUGAAGCAUUUUCUCUCCACUGACUUUAAGCAUUAUUUUGCUUUAUUUUAAUUCCCACAAUAGCCUGUAGCUGUUUCUGAAUUCUGUUCCACUGUUCUCACUGUUCUUAUCACAAUAAACUACUGCUUUAUUAUUAUUAUUAUUAUUAUUAUUAUUAUUAUUAUUAUUUUUGUUGCAGUACUGUGGAUUGAACUCAAGACUCGUGAAUGCCAAGAAAGCACUUCUGCUAGGGAGCUACAUCCCUCUUUAACUAUAGGUUUAAGAUAGUCUCCCUAAAUAGUCCAGGCUGGCCUUGAACUCACAGUGAUCCUCCUACCUCAGCUUCCCGAGUGCUUGGAUUAUAAGUGUGUAUUGUCACAUCUCACUCAGAAUUAGUUUUAUAUCUACUUAUAAACUACUUUGAUUAAACUAUGAUUUCUUUAUUUCAGUCAUGUAUUUUUCUUGUUCAAUUUAUUCCAAAAUUAUUAUAAUAUUAUUCAGCUUGCAGAUGAAAUUUUUGGACAUUUUUUAUGAAUGAAUGUUUAUCUCUAAGAAAUUUGCUUUUUUUAAAAGGAGAUUCCAGGAAGAUGGUGGAUUGAUAGGUAGCAGAGAAAAGAGCCACUUUGAGAAAAACAAUUCAGAUGCUAAAAUUUAACACCAUGGACAAGACCAGAUGAAAGGAGAGGGAUUCUCACGACCCAGGAAGAAACUGAGGAAAAAGAAAAAGAGAAAAAAAGAAAGAAAGGAAGGAAAAAUAUGGAUGAAAGGCUGGAACCAGACACUCUCACUGGAGCUGGUCCCUUUCUGUGCUGGUGCACCUUGAAGUCAGAUGACUCACGGUCAUGCUGAAAUCGCAGCAUUGCUGACAUCACAGGUUGGUGAGCCCAAGGCGUGAGGAUGUGGCACAAUGGAGACUGGAACCAAUGUGGAGAGCUGCAUUAACCCAUGUGGAGUGCUAGGAAUUGGGUCAGGCAGAGGAGGUGACUGGCUAGACGAUGUAUCGGAGUUGGGCAGGACAGGCCUGAACCAGGAAUUCUAGUGGCAUCAGUCAGCUGCUCAAAGAGGCUCAAAGAGGACUGGUGGGGUCUGCUUGGGCUGGGUCACAUCCUUGGUUGGGACCCAAUAGCCAGGGACAAAACCUUCCUGAACCUGUGACAUUCGCAUGCCACAGCCUAACGUGCUAAAGGCACUUGCUGGUUGACUGGCUCAGAGGAGAGGGGCCAGCCCACAUCCCUGCAUGCACCUCACAGAUCAAGAGCAAACUGGAGAGAGCAGCAAUCCCCUAGCCAGGACACUUCAGAAAAACUGUAAGCAAUGUAGAAAGGGCCUGAUACCUCCACCAUACACCUGUCUGAAAGAAACCAGAACCAUGACAAGAGAAAGAAACAAAAAAAGCCUCCAGCCACUGACCCAGGGAAAGUAAGUCCAGGAGAGGUAAAUACAGAAGAGAUUGAGGGCAGCAAACAUGCAAUAUUGGACACAGCAUCAGUGGACAUAAAGAAAUACCUUUGCAACCUCAUAGACAAAUUUAAAACUGAAAUUCUAAUUCAAGUGAGGGAAGAUAUAAAAAGAUUAAUAAAAGAAAUGCUAAUCACCUCUCAAGAAGACACAGAUGAAAGAAUGGAGGAACCCAGAAAAAGGAGAGAAACCUUUGGUGAAGAAUAUAAACAAAAUCUAGAAUACAUGAAACAGAUCCAAAGAGAUUACCAGGAAAUUAAAAACUCCUUUGAAAGCUGGCAAAAUGCCUUGACAGAAACUAAAGUUAGACUUUCAAACCUUGAGGAUAGAGAUUUGCAAUGUGUGAUCAUGAAAGGAAAGAUCUCUUAAAAAUAACAAGGAGCCAGGAAGUAACAAUACAAAGGCUAGAAGAUGACAAGAGGAUCUAUAACUUAAGAAUAAAAAAUGUGAGUGAAGAAGCAGGGGUAAACACAAAUGAAAUACAAAGGCUAUUCACAGAAAUAAUUAAGAAAAACUUCCCAAGCACAGGAAAAGGAAAUGAUAGUCAGAUAUAUGAGGUAUACAGAACUCUAGCCACCUAAACCAAAACAGAUCUAUACCCAGACAUAAUAAGAUCACAGAAAUUUAUCACAAGAACAGAAUAUUAAAAGUGGUCAGAGAAAAGAAACAGAUCACCUAUAAAGGAAAACCCAUCAAAAUCAUGACAGACUUCUUGACAUAAACUAUCAAAUCAAGAAGAGCUGGAGUGAAGUAUUCUAAGCCCUCAAAGAAAAUAACCUCCAACCCAGAUUGAUAUACUCUGAAAAACUGUUUCCCAAAAUUAAUGGAGAAACAAGAUGUUUCCAAGACAAAGAGGAAGUGUGGGAGUUUGUGAACACCAAUCCAGUGCUACAAAAAAUACUGAAGACAUUCUGGAGAGAGAGAGAAGAAAAUCACCAGGAUUCCAGCAAUAGUGGCAGAGAGGCCUCAAUGAAUGAGGCAGACAGUGGAAUGAAGGAGAAAAGUAGACAAACAACAGCAGAAAAAUAGCAUAGCAGAGAUGAGGCAGAGAAGGUUGGCUAUAAUCUCUAACAUGGAUGGCUUUGGUACACUAACAAAAAGAAACACAGGCAGAGUAGAUCAGAAUAUAGGGUCCAUUGAGAUGCUCUGAAUAGGAAAUAUAAUUUACCUGAAAGAGAGUUAAUGAACCAAAAGUCAAAGAUGAGCAAAACAAUGCUGUAUGUGACAGGGAACUAGAGAGAAAUAGGGACAACUUGUCCAGCUGCAGAUAGGUUGGAAAGUCAUGACACUUUUGUGCAGUGGAGAAUUACAGAGCUAAAACCUUGAGUUGCUAGUAGGUCAAGGAAUACAGCUCAAGAUCUAGCUUAGGAAUAAAAAGGUUCAGAACCACCUUGGUAGAUGUGGGUUACCCCCCUCAUCUAAAAACUAAAGGAGUUAGUGGGACCCAAAAUGUACAAAGCACCCUGAGAAAGGGAAAGGGGAGGAAUUGUCUAAAAAAGGAAGGUAGAGGACAUUGGUAAUAGUACAUCAGGAUUUAAAAGCCACAUUAGAUUUAUCACUCUGUUUAGUUUGAUUUUAUUCUGUUCCAGUCUCAUACUAGACUUGAGGACACAGACAGCUAUCCCAAAAAUAUCAGAUAUACAAUGGUAUCUACCCUUAAUUGCCUAUUAACUUUACCUGAAGCCCUGUAUUACUUAUACUGUCUUACUAUGACUGAUAUUAUUUGAAUCUGGUUUGUUAUAUUGCUGUUUUGUCUUGACUGAUUUUGUUAGAAUUUGGUAUGCUUGAUAAUAUCAAGUCUAAGAGUAGAGGCAACUACUCUGAAGAUGACAAGAUGCAAUAGGAUACCUAUUCUGCUUUGAUUAUUAACUGCUUUUGAAGUCCUGUAAUGUCUCCAAUGUUUUGUUUUUAUUAAUAUUGCUAUGUAGUGCUAUUUUCAAUUAUAUUAUGCCUGAUGGUAUAGACAAUUCUAUUGAAAACAGCAAGAGAAAUCAUAGUAAAUACUGUAGAUGACCUAGUAUUGUGGUUUUAUGUCUUUUUUGUUUCAUGUUUUUCUAGUAAUUUGUUUUGUCUUGUUUUGAUUUGUUUUUCCCUUUAAUACAGAAAGGAUAGGCAUACAUGUAGAGAUUCACGCAUGUAUAGCUGUAAACAGUUUACAAGAAUAGAUUAUAUAAUGUAUGAUGUAAUGAACAGAGACUCUGAAGAAAAAGAGACACUAAGAUACCCAGUGCUAAUUCCAUAGUGUCAUGAUAUAAAAUCUAGCAAUACUAUUAUUCUCUGUCCAAAGUGAUAUUAGUCUAUUUUCUUUUGUUUAAUUUCAACAUACACAAAGAUAUGGACAGCUAUUUUGAAGAGAAUGAGAGACACUAUUGCAGCCAUUGUUGACGUCUCUAUUGUCUGAUCUUGAAGACCUAAAAUGCCUUCAUCAUCCUGUUCUGAUUUUUAGGGGGAUCCUGUACUAUUUUUAGGGGGAUGAAUUCACUGUGUGUGAAGAUAUGGACAACUAUAUGGAAGAAAAAAGUGGACAACAUGAUAGACAAUGAAUAUUUCCAGUGGUCUUGCUUUGAAAUCUGUGUUUUAAAAAUUGUUUCCUUAUGAUCUGUUUUGUUCUGUCUAAUUUUACCCUCUUUAAAAUAAAAAAAGAAAUUUGCUUUUAAA